AUUGAACGCUGGCGGCAUGCUUUACACAUGCAAGUCGAACGGUAACAGGCCGCAAGGUGCUGACGAGUGGCGAACGGGCGAGUAAUGCACCGGAACGUGCCCAGUCGUGGGGGAUAAGUUAUCGAAAGAGUAGCUAAUACAGCAUCCGAUCUAUGGAUGAAAGGCGGGGACCGUAAGGGAAAGUGUGAUUGGUGCGGGCGAUGUUCGAUUAGGUAGUUGGUGGGGUUGAGGUUCACCAAGGCAACGAGCUGUAGCUGGUCUGAGAGGACGAGCAGCCACACGGGGACUGAGACACGGCCCAGACUCCUACGGGAGGCAGCAGUGGGGAAUGGUAGACAUGGGGCGCAAGCCAGAUCCAGCAAUGCCGCGUGCAGGAAGAAGGCCUUCGGGUUGUAAACUGCUUUUGUACGGAACGAAACGGCUCUGGUUAAUACCCGGGGCUAAUGACGGUACCGUAAGAAUAAGCACCGGCUAACUACGUG
rnacentral:rRNA from 1 species